AGCAGCCGCGGUAAUUCCAGCUCCAAUAGCGUAUAUUAAAGUUGUUGCAGUUAAAAAGCUCGUAGUUGAAUUUCGGGAUCAAUACGUCGGUCGUGCUUCGGUACGUACUGGCGUAAUUGAUUUCUCCCUUCUGACGAACCAUGAUGUCAUUAACUUGGUGUCAUGGGAAAUCAGGACUGUUACUUUGAAAAAUUAGAGUGUUUAAAGCAGGCUCACGCUUGAAUACAUUAGCAUGGAAUAAUGAAAUAGGACGUUCGAUCCUAUUUUGUUGGUUUUUAGGAUCAACGUAAUGAUUAAUAGGGACAGUUGGGGGCAUUAGUAUUCAAUUGUCAGAGGUGAAAUUCUUGGAUUUAUUGAAGACUAACUACUGCGAAAGCAUUUGCCAAGGAUGUUUUCAUUAAUCAAGAACGAAAGUUAGGGGAUCGAAGACGAUCAGAUACCGUCGUAGUCUUAACCAUAAACUAUGCCGACUAGGGAUCGGAUGAUGUUAAUUUUUAAUGUACUCAUUCGGCGCCUUAAC
rnacentral:rRNA from 1 species